GCAGAGCCUGGCACCAGGGGAGUGGUCCGAGGUGUGGACUGUCCCUCUUUGGGCUCCUUGCGCUCCGGGGCUUAGUGUCACCGUCGGUGCUGACUGAUGCUCCUGCUUUCUCCCUGUAGGCCUUCGGAGGAGAGCCCGGCUUCGCUUCAUGAAGCAGUUUUAUAAAUGAGCAGAGAAUAUGCUUCUGGUGUCCUGCUGCAAAAAAGACGUUGGUCAGGAACGAGUGAGAUCUGG